CUCCAGCUCCCAGCCGUGUGUCUGGCUGCCCGGGGCCGCCCCCGCUGUGCCGCCGGGAGAGGAGGUGGAGGAGGAGGCGGCUGCAGCUCCGUGCCCGCCCGUCCCCACCCGCCGGCCGCAGCCGCGCGGGCCGCCCCGGGCAGCGAUCGCUCCAUGAGGUUCGGCUGCUGCCGGCUGCCCGCGGGGCGGGGGGGCGGUGGGUCUGGAGGCCCCUCCGGAUGAUGCCGCCCGGCGCCGUGUCGGCGCGGCCCCCCGGCGGGGCGCGCUCGCUGAGCCCCGCGGCGCUGACUCGCAGCCUGUCCCGCCUGCGCGAGCACCGCGCCCGCUCUCGGGCCAUGCUGGCGCUGGGGGUCACGCAGAUGCUGCUGGGCUGCCUCAUCGUGGCCGUCAGCUUCGCCGCUCUGGCGCUCACCACCUCGGCACGAGUCCGACACUCGUGUCCCUUCUGGGCCGGCUUCUCGGUGCUGCUGUCAGGACUGAUUGGUGUUGUUUCGUGGAAGAGACCUCUUUCACUUGUGAUAACCUUUUUCAUGCUGCUCUCUGCAGUGUGUGUAAUGCUGAAUUUAGCUGGCUCCAUUCUUUCUUGUCAGAAUGCUCAGCUAGUAAAAUCCCUGGAAGGAUGUCAGUUGAUUAAAUUUGACAGUGAUGGUGUCUGCGUUUGCUGUGAAAUGCAGCAUCAAACGUCAGGUUGCAGUAACCUUGGAGAAAUGCUGAAACUGAACCCUCUGCAGGAAUGUAAUGUUGUGAGGUUGACCCUAAAGGACCUGUUGUUCAGCGUGUGUGCUCUCAAUGUCAUCUCCACCAUUGUCUGUGCUUUGGCAACAGCGAUGUGUUGCAUGCAGAUGGUUUCUUCUGAUCUUCUGCAAAUGUUUCUGCCACAGCGGCCACAUUCUGCCAAUGCAGACUGCAUGACUCCACAUGGGACUGUUCUGCAUCAAACUUUGGACUUCGAUGAAUUCAUCCCACCAAUACCACCUCCACCCUACUACCCACCAGAAUAUACCUGCACACCUGUGGUAGAGGCACAGAGCAGAAGUCUCCAUUUGGAAUUUCCUCAUUCCCCAUUCAGUGCUUUGUAUGAAGUCACCAUUAACAGCCCGGGAAUGCUAUAUCCAACUGAGCUGCCACCUCCUUACGAGGCAGUGAUUGGAGAAACACCUGCCAGCCAGGUCACUGGUACUGAUCAGCAAGUAUCUGAAUCAAGCAUGGGUGAGAGGAAUGCGACCCUGGGCUUCAGCACACAAGUUUCUGUUGAGAGCACCUCAUUGAUGACCUCUGAAACUGCUGAAAUCCCAGACCAUAGCUGCUCCUCAGAAGAUCUUUGUUCGCUGGAAGUUCAAGGAUCUCUCCGUUCUUCAGAUUUUUCUCCCUCCUGUACAAACUGCAAAGGGGCCACAGGCCGGAGCUGCAGCAGUCUGGACUACAGCACCCGCUGCAGGUUCCACAGAACUCGCUCAGAAGGUUUCCCUGAUGAGGAUGUCAGUUUGCACAGCAGAGUCUCUAUGGACAAGUCUCAAGGACAGGAAAAUGAAAACUGUGCCCACGGCAGAUCCUCAGACUGUUCCUCAGAGAAUUUCAGUCCCUCAGAAAGAGAACUGCGGAAUUCUGCGCAAGAAAGCAGUGUCUCAUUACAUUUGAAACAAAUGAAAAUGUGCUGCGGGGUCUUUAGCCAGCCCUCUGUCCCUGCCCACACUGCUCCCUGUUUUGGGCCUGCAGAUACUUCAUCGUAUGUGAGCAGUUCUGAGAGUUCCCAGCAGCAUCAUGUUACAAAACACCAAAUUUCAAACAUUGUCCGCUCAACUAGUGAUCCUGUAUCGUGUUCGUCUUAUAUAGAAGGUGAUCAUUGUGCCUGGAGUCCUAUAUGUAGACAGCAUCAAGAUGCAGGAUCUUCAGCCACAUUAGAAACAGAAGUACGUCAUGUAGUGAACAGUAUACGAUCAGUAAUAAAAUCUGAUGAAAGACACAUGGAAGAAGCCAUCUUCAGUGCCAAUAUUAUAGACCAGGUCAUUACAAGUUCCCGGCUGAGUGUGAAUACCUCUAGAAAGCGACUUCAGGAAGACCUUCAUCUGCAGAGUUGUGGUGCUCUGAGCUCUCCAGUUGCCUUCUUACGCAGGUCCCCUGUCACUCACAGUGUAGAACGGGACAGGCCUCACAGUUUAAUUGGAGUUUGCCAGGAGACCAUCCUUUGAUAACAUUCACAGGUAUGUGAUUCCAGCAGAGAGAAUUAAGGAAGAAACCAGGACUGGGAGAAAUGCAAGUAGUGGAUGGCUUAAAAAGGAAAAAGUGUCUUCCUUUGGAGUUCUGCUUUUUUUCCAGCAGCAGGAAGAGAUCACCUGUUAUUCUGAAUGUAAAUUUCAGCCCUGCAUUUUGAAAAAAAAUAACUGAUUUAUUAGUAAACUCAUAACAAAUGUUUUCCCGACCAGAAAUGCAUAUAUUUCACUGUACUUACAGAAAUGCUGCUGAUGCUGUCUAGCAUUUCUUCAAAACCAUUGCAAAAACCACCACAGACUGGCUGUACAACUUAGAAGUUGUAUUUAUUUAAUGUACCUCAAGGUGUUUUAACUAUGAUCAGUGUUUUAAUAAAAAGUAUUUCUGGACUUUGCUUUUUCAACAACUGACUUGAGUAGAACUGUAAUGUCGAUUGGUGUGCUCACUGAGUGCUGCUUCUAAUUCAUUUUUCCAAUGUCUUUCACGCCAGGCUAACUGACCUGCUGUAUUACUCUUUUCCUCUGAGCCCCUGCAAUGUGUUGCCCCUUUAAAUACUACUGAAGGCUCUGGCGUGGUUUAUUUUUACUUGGUUCUCAAUGGUCAUGAGGUUAUUAGUGGAGUAGUGUGUGCUCCUGAAAACUGACAUUGCAAGUACUCUGUGAAUUGUGGCCGAAAGGUGCAUUAGGGAAGAAGUUGCUGAAAUUGUGCAUUUCCAGUAAGGUUUUCUAAGCUUGUAAACAUCAGGUGAUAGGAAAUGAGAUGGAUUUUUAUCUAGCAGAGCUGUGAACGUUUGCUAAAAGAAUUGUUAUUCCAAUUACAAGUAUGAGCAGUUGUGUUACUAAAACAUUUCCUUGUGGCUCUGCUGCAUUUUUAUUAAAAUUAUCUUAGGAAAAAAGGUAAGUAUUGUUGGCACUAAUAUGAUUACCAGCAUAAACAGAGCUUUGCCAGCAAUAUCUUCCAGUGCAAGCUUCAUCCUAGCUCUCUCAGAGGAAAAUGGAAAGGCCUUAAACAAAAGGUUCUCAUAAAGAACCUACCAUGGGUUUUGAUGUUUCAGGGCUUUAAUUUUUUUACAGUAGUGCUUGUCAGUAGCAUUACAGUUUCCAUUUGAGGUUUAAUCAUAUACUGCUUUCAUUUGUGUCAUUCCGAGCUGGGCAGACGUCCUGUGAAAAGGUCACAAAGGAACAUAGCUGGAGAUGGGUGGUUUAAUUUUUAUGGAAUAAUCCAUUUGAGAGUGCACCGUGCUUCUGUGUUGAUGUGAACUUACAGUGACAUCCAGUGGCAACAAGGAAAAGAAGGUACCUACAAGUUUUGGCAGAGGAGUUAGUGGAAGAUCUGGCCAGGGCUGAGUGUGAUCCUACUCUAAAUUCGGUAGAUUUUGGUAAACUUGGAUCUUGUUCAUCCACUGAUGAUUUCUCUAAAAGUACUGCAGAGAGAUGUCUUAUUCCCAAGGCUGGAAAAGGGCAUUCUGCCCUCCUGAGCCACCGCUUUUCUCCAUGUUUUAUAGUGCUGCUGACUAGAGAGAGCUUAGGACAAAGAAGGCAAAUCAGGCCACUGUUUUACCACAUCAUCCACAGGUACCAGUAAAGAAAUAUGCAGAUUUUUAAUUUUAUGCCUCCUAUAACAGGAAAUAAUUCUGUAAGAAUUAUAUUUAUCAGAUGCAAUCUUAAGAGUCACUGGUAUUUGAAAUGAUUCUGAGGUUUCAAAAUGCUUUGUGUAUAAGUAGAAGGAAUACAGCUCAAUGAAGCAUGGUGAUCUUUAUUAAAAACCUGUCUUAACGGCAACCGACAUCUGUGCUAUGAUGGGGCCUUCCUGUCAGUCUAGGAAGAUGUGUAUUGGAUGGAAAUUCCUGCUAAAUUGUUUCAGAAGACCUAAGUUCACACAGCAUGUAAGGCAGGUGAGGUAUAGUUUGAAUCACUGAAAGUGAGCAGAGCUUACUGUGCUGAGAUGCACCCACUGCUUACUGAGAGAAACCUGUUCUUGGAGGAAAAGUGCUGCAGGAAUAGCACCCUGUGAUGGCUGCUUCUGCAGUUACUGUCAGUGGCUGUAAUCAUAUGCCAAGAAUUAUUUGUUGAGAUCUGAUAGUUUGCUCUGAGCUAAAUGUAAGUAUGAUAAGAUGUGGCUUGUGUCUCAGCGAGUUUAUAAUUUAAUUCAGAAACAAAUAUAGUGCGUGGGAAGAUGGACAAGCUAGCAUAAAAUUAGAGUGGAACAUGUGGUUGAGCAGUAUCUUUUCUGUAUGACCCGUGCUUUUCUUUGAAAUCCUCUUUGCAAAUGUAAGUGCUAAGAGAAAUGAAAUCCUUGCUCAAAUUCAGGGUGUCUGAUAUGAGGAGGGAAAAUAUGCAGAUCUUAAUUUAUUAUAGAACAAACAAAGAAAACCCACCUUCUUUAACAUUAUGGAAAAGUUUAUCCUACAGCGAUACUUGUCUUGCAGCAGCCACUCUAUGAGUGCCUGAGCUUUGCCCACUGUGGCUCCUAAAUUGCUUCUGAUGGACUCUAAUGGUUAGAGGCACCAUCAAGACCUUUCACAAAACUGCCAUCUUGAAUUUCAGUGCAUUGUGCAGGCUGCCUACCUUCUAAUCAUAGCCCUAACAAGAUAGGCUGUAUUACACAGAUCUUCACCCAACUUAAUACAAAGCUUCUCAUUUAACUCAGUGUUCAGUUUAGUUCAGUGCUGCUGGGGAUUGUAUGGAGUCAUGUGGCAGGACAAGAGCAGAAUGUGCCAAUGGAAACCCUAUACACACAUUUCAUAAAAUAAAAUAUACAGACCAUACAACCUUCUGAAAUAAAAGCCUUCAGAGCAAAUGGAAAUGCUGCCUCUAACCCUACUGGCAUAAAGUAAAAGGUAAUGGAUUGUGUAUCUACCCAGAGCAUUUUUUUUCUUCUGGGGCACACAAAGCUCUUUUAGUAGCAGUGAAUUUCUAGCAGCCUCAGACAUAGGAAGUGGUCUCUUAUCCUAAUUCAAGAACAUGAUCCCUCUCCAGGGAGAGGAUUCAGCUUCCUUUUUGUAAGCAUUAGAUAUUUUAAUGAGGUAGAAAAAGGAACAGACACAGAUCUCAAGUGGCUCUGACUGGCUUCACAGAUCGUGUUGCGCUAGAGGCAGAGUGCAGAUGUAAGGAAAUGUGCUGCACUUCUAGCACAGAUUUAUGUGGCUCCUGUAUUUGUGAGUGACUGACUGAAAACAGCCUAAGACUUCAGUCUCCAGCCCACGUAUGUGAGACAUAUUUGGCUGGCAAGCUUAAGGUGAGCAGAUCCUUAAGUAAAUGAGAUUCUACUCAGCCAGGACUGUUUACCUUAAUAUCAUAGUUGUGAAAUAUGGCAACUAUUAUUAAAUAAAGCAUAACUGAGCCUGUGCUCUAUUUUUUGUGUAAACAGAGAAAAAAUAGAAGCAAACCAUAUUAGAUGAACCUCCUCAGCUGUUAGGUAUUCUGUGGUGUCCUAGGCAAGUUGCAGUGAAUCAUUAUGAAACUCCAAUCCCAUCAGUUUUACUGUAACUGCCCAUUGUGUAUCAAAAUAUUGACUGCAGUACAGUGCAAGACAAAUUAACUGUUUUGUCUGAGCAAAUACCUAAAUACAACCUAUCAAACCAGGUUUCUCCUCAUGUCAUACCUGUACUUCUCUGUCUAAGCACUAUAUAUUUUUUCCUUUAAAGUUUACACAAAUACAAACAAAGGCAAGAAACCAAGAAUGACACUCAGUUCAGUUAACUUUUACCUAUUUAUACUGUAUUUUUAGAUAGAAUGCUGCUGGACUGGCGAUGGGCUGAUAGACUUCUCGGAGGAAGUGAGUGAGCAGCCCAGAGUUUGCUGAGAAGUGGUAGAUUAUUAGUGGUUGAACUACAGCUGGUGGCUCUAUCUCUCCUAAUGCAGGAAACAAGAAAAUGAUGCGAGAGACGACUUGUGUUUGUAUACAGAUUUUACAAGAAAUAUGGCAUAGUAAUUUUCAAAUGAAGGCUGAUAGGUUGCUUUAUGUUCAGUUCUCCAUCACACAACAUUUCUGCCAAUUGUUCCAUGUAUAUGCAUGAUAUUUUAGUUUUUUUCUUAAUGUUUUGAAGUUCAAAUUUCAGUUUUCUAAGUGUUCCGUAGAAGCUUUUGAGAGCCACGUAGAAUAUCUGCAAUUAUUAGUGCAAGAACAGUUUUGCAAAUGUAACACUCUGGAUUUGUGCAGUUGUGAUGUUCCCUAACUAAAACUUCCAAAAGCUGGCUCUUCUGCUGCUCCCUGAGGCACAGCUUCAGCCUUACAUGAAAUAGGCUGUACAGAAUACACAAACAGAAGCAGUCACCUGCAGCAAUGCAGUCUCUGCUGCUCCCUGAUAUCCUAUAAAAACAAAUCCCAGCUCAAAUAGCAAUGCUGUAUGUUCAGGUUGUUUUGGGGCUAUUCACAAAGACUAUAGCUGCACAUUCAGCACAGAUGAGAUAGGCAGGUUGAAAAGGAAUCACCACAAAACUGUUAUCAGCAGAGGAACAGAAGUACCAGAUGCAUGCAUAAUGAGGUGAUUGCACAGCAGUAGGAGAGAUUUAAUUAUACCUGAUCCACCAAGCUGUUUGUUUCUUCACUGUGCAAAUGCUAAGCCAAACAGAAGAUUAGCAUGUUGUUUCCCAUCACGUUUUAUAACAAUUGUUACCAUUUAGAAGAAUUUCUUCUUGAAAGUUAAGUGAUAAACUACCAGGAAAAUAUACUUUGCAGAGUCACAUUUUCAAAUGUUAGUUGAAAUAAGGGAAAUCUUUAUCUGAGCAAGGAAUUACAGGACCAUAAACUAGUCUACGUAGUAGCUUAACAAAAGAUAUUAAACUCUUCUUUUUGUUCAUUGGCUUUUAGAUCCAAAACCAGAAGCUUCACAAAUGGAAUAUAUAUUACAAGCCCUUCUUCUUUGUUUUCUAUGAAAGGUUUUUAUGCUGAAUUUGGUAAACUUUCUGUUGAAUGUCCUCUAAAUGCUACUAAUGUAAAAACAAUGAUUCGUGACCAUCCACAGAGGUGAAUACAACAAAGGUCCAGUAGAUGGGAGAGAGUGCACUAUGAAAGGGAACAACCAAGGUGUGAAGGACAGAGGCUCCAGGUAUAAAGGAGAUGAUCCGAUGGGACAGUUUGAUGACUGGAUUGUCUCUCAGAUUCUGUCAGCACCCUGCGAGGAUGUACAUUUCUUUUAAUCUGCCUUUCCUGCAGCCCUGGCCCACCCCUGACAGUACUGUGACAGGCCACCUGAAAGAGGUGAUUAACGCACUGUAGUAUUGCUCAUUGUUCCUUAAUUGUAUUUUCUCUUUUUAUCAUUGCACCAGCUGUACAUACUGGGCUUCUUGAGGAUGGCAAUUAGGAAAUAAAUCUCUGCCUCACACAAUGAGCCGCUCUCUGCAUCCUCUGUGAAAUCUUGGAAAAUCAGAUCCCGUCCCAUUAAUCACUUUAUUCAAACACUUGGGAAAUGCUAAUGCUGAGUACGCUGCCAGUAGUGACCAGACCCACUGAACAGAUAUGUAUGUAGGUGAAAUGGUUUUAAAGUUGUGCAAAGGAGGACAGAAAUACUAUGAAUGAUCUUUCUGUAUUUUUGUUUUUACAGACUUCUGUCUACGCUUGUAUCAGAGCAUUAAUCCCAAACGUAAUUUAAUGCUUUAAACCUGUGCUUCUAAAGAAUAUCAGCCUGGGGGGAGGUAUCCCAUCACAGUACUUCCAGCUGGAGAAAGCCUUGUAGUAACAUUAUUCACACCAGCCUGCUGUGACCAUGCAACGAUAUUUGAUCUUAGGUAGGAACAUGUAAAACUUCAGUACAAUAAUUUCUCAGCAAUAGCUGAGAAUCCACCAAUGAGCCACCUGCUUCCCAAAGGAUAGGAAUAGUAUCUUUUAAAACCACCUGCUACUCUUUUCAAUGGUGACAUACAAAUCUGGCAAAUUCAGUCCAUGAGUUUCACAGAACAGGAACCACAGCCCACAGUUGCUUUUUAAUGCGCUUUUCUGUGUGGAUGGCCUGAUUUUUUUUAUUUUUAUAGACUGGAAGAAGAGGAAAAUGUGAUGGUCCUGCAUUGCAGGCAGUCCUUAAUGCUGUAUCAGUCCUCAAAAGCACUGGGUGGCUACCUGAGCUAGCAGUGCCCUGGAAGUUUGCUUUGUACCAGAAAAUGGCUAUGAGAAAACCCUGAGCUGCACCAGGUGCGUGUUACUUGUCACACUUGUUCUCCUGUUUCCUGUUGUUACAGAGAAACUGCUGCAUGCAGAGAAGGGAAAGGGAUACCUGGGCCACAAUGCCCUUUUUUCUUUUUCAAACUUGUAGUGAGAGAGGCUUAGCUUUAAUCAGAGGCAGUCACAGUUACAUUCCUGUGUCUGCUUUUCAGGAAGCAGUCCUCUACCAUUUAAUCCAAAUAUAUUCUACACAGUAGAAAAAA